GUGGGGAAUCUUGCACAAUGGGGGAAACCCUGAUGCAGCGACGCCGCGUGAGCGAUGAAGCCCCUCGGGGUGUAAAGCUCUUUCGGCGGGAACGAUACUGACGGUACCCGCAGAAGAAGCUGCGGCUAACUACGUGCCAGCAGCCGCGGUAAUACGUAGGCAGCAAGCGUUGUUCGGAGUUACUGGGCGUAAAGAGUGUGUAGGCGGUUCGGUUCGUUCGGUGUGAAAUCUCCCGGCUUAACUGGGAGGGUGCGCCGAAUACUGCCGAGCUCGAGUGCGGGAGAGGAGAGCGGAAUUCCUGGUGUAGCGGUGAAAUGCGUAGAUAUCAGGAGGAACACCGGCGGUGUAGACGGCUCUCUGGACCGUGACUGACGCUGAGACACGAAAGCGUGGGGAGCAAACAGGAUUAGAAACCCGAGUAGUCC
rnacentral:rRNA from 1 species